CGGGGCAGCACUCGCCGUCGGGGAUGUACAUCUUCUCGCAGUUACUCAGCUCAACGCACUGGAUCUCGUCGCAGAGGACCUGGCCGUUGUCACAGACGCAGAUCCGGCAUGGCUCCGGCUUCCAGAUGUCCCUGUUGGUGCUCACAGGGAGGCUGAGGCCUAUCCCAGCAUGCACUGCAGAAUAAUUAAAGGUCACAGGGUCAACAUAUUCACCCUCAUAGUCUUUCAGAGAGUCAACCGGAUGAACUGCUAAUCCUCCACAACUGCAGGAAAUUCAUUUAUUCCCCCCUUGGUGCAGCUCCGAGUUACUUUCCUGUUUGAUAAUACUGCAGGGUGUUACGAUUGCCAAAGAAAUCACGAUACAUUUUUAAUGCUAAUAAAGCCCUUAAACCUGAGGUGUGUGAGGACUCAAACAGCUGCUCGUCCCCCCUCCAGUGAAACAAGGUUUUCCACCAUUGUCUGCACACACCGUGAGAGGGAAAAAAAAAAAGAUCUGGAAAAGGUUUGUUGCAGCGAUGUCUCCGGCUGUGAGACGUGACAUCAUUUCCUCCUGAGGCAGCGUCUCAGAAAACUUGACUCACGGUCAAAAGGGAAAACCUGCAGCCACCUGGGAGGCGACUUUUGACUCUGAGUUCUUCACAAUUAACCUAACCACACAGCCAUGUACACAAGUCUCCUCACAACAGCCGUGAAAAUAUUUAGAAACAGCUAAAUUCAUCUCCUCCAACAUACAUGGAGAUGAAAUAAGAGGUCUGCAGAGCCUUCACCUGUUCCUGAUACAAACAGCAGGUGGCAGCUCUGUGCUUCAGACUGCAGGUAACUCAGGUUGGACACUGAAGAUGCAGAGAGGAGCCUGACUACUGUAUUAUCCAGGAGAAGAAGGAUGUAGGAGGAUUAUCACAACCUGAACACUCAGGAUGGUUAAAAUGUAAACUCAAAGAGCAGCAUCAGUCAGGUAAAAGUGCAGGUGGACUCUCACUGAGUCCUCCUGCAGCAGGACGACAUGUUUUAACACAGCUCCAGCCCUUAUUUACAUCUGUAUUAAGACGUGCCUGGAAGGCGGCGGCUGUGAAUAAUACUUGGCAGUUGUUUACAUUUCAUUAGAGAGCCGAGUGAACAGAGCUGAGAGCGAGAGGACAGCUCAGAGUGACAGCCUACGUACCAACACACUGAAUUUACUACAUCAGUCAACUGGAUGAUAAGAAAUGCAAACACAUUAUAAGAUAUUGGAGCAAUGAUCGGAAUCAGAAACAGCUUUAUUUGCCAAAUGUACAUAUUUAAGUAUGCUUAUGCUACAAUGAUAUCACCUACAGUGUAGCACGAUGAUCUAUAAAAGUGUGACAGUGGAGUUAAUCGAUAAGAAACUAUGUCAGCCUGAAUAUUUUAAAUGUUAUAAUGAAGAUGUUGUAACGCAACAAGCUUUACCAAAGCAGUAGAAACUGAUUUAACACCACAUUUUGUACAAUUAACACCCAAGAAUGUCCAACUAUGGUGCCCAUAUUUGUUAACAGCCAAAAAAAGAAAACUGACUGUCUGAGAGCAAAGCAACUACUGAGUGCUUCAAUAACUUCUUUUAAAUGAAGAAAAAAACUUGACGGGAUGACUUGUUGCUCUAUUUAACACAGUGUAGGAAAACAUCGUGUCUGCUGCUCGUGGAAAACCGAGAGAAAAAGGUGAUUCCAAAAACAACCCGGACAGGAAGAAUUCCUAUUUUAGCCACCAGGACCAUUUAAAUACUGUUCACAGAUCUAACAUUCAGUGGUGAAGUGAAAGGCUACUGCAAGUGAAUGUCUUGGUACGAGUUCAAAGUGAAGCUAACGUAUAGAAAAACGACAGUCUGAGUGGUAGAUUGCAUUUAAACUUGCCUUAACAAGACGUAACUGGAACCUCUGAAACACCUCAAAUUAAAGUCGACUCCGGUGCUGCACGGAUGCAACAUGUAAUCAGAUGCUCUUAAGCUCAUUACAUCUAAUCUCAUGAGCACGAGUGGCUGUGAUUUGGGUAAUAGCUCAGACGAUGGUAUGGAAGACAAACAGGAACCGAAAAAUACAGAAUCACAUCAUGAUUUUUAUGUAUGCUGUGUUUCUUCACCCUUUAAAUACUACUAUUAUUUUGCCUUUCCCUUCCAGUUUUGCUUAUUGAGUUUUCUUUUCUUUCCAAAUACACAAAUAUUAGAAAUCUGUUAAA